rnacentral:rRNA from 1 species
UACGGAGGGGGCAAGCGUUGUUCGGAAUUACUGGGCGUAAAGGGCGCGUAGGCGGCCUGCUAAGUCGAACGUGAAAUCCCUGGGCUCAACCCAGGAACUGCGUCCGAUACUGGUUGGCUUGAAUCCGGGAGAGGGAUGUGGAAUUCCAGGUGUAGCGGUGAGAUGCGUAGAUAUCUGGAGGAACACCGGUGGCGAAGGCGACAUCCUGGACCGGUAUUGACGCUGAGGCGCGAAAGCCAGGGGAGCAAACGGG